rnacentral:rRNA from 1 species
GGCGGCGUGCCUAACACAUGCAAGUCGAGGGUGUGGCUGGAGGCUUCGGCCGAAGGCCACACAGCGGCGGACGGGUGCCUAACGCGUAGAACGUGCCCCCCGGAGGCGGAUAGCCGUGGGAAACUGCGGGUAAACCGCCAUACGCUCGGAGAGGAAAGGCCGAGAGGCGCCGGGGGAGCGGCCUGCGUCCCAUCAGGUAGUUGGUGGGUAACGGCCCACCAAGCCGACGACGGGUAGCCGGUCUGAGAGGACGGCCGGCCACAAGGCACUGAGACACGGGCCCUACUCCUACGGGAGGCAGCAGUGGGGGAUAUUGGACAAUGGCGAAAGCCUGAUCCAGCGACGCCGCGUGGAGGACGAAGCCCUUCGGGGUGUAAACUCCUUUGUCGGGGAAAAAGGGUGAUGGUACCCGACGAAUAAGCCCCGGCUAACUACGUGCCAGAGCCGCGGUAAUACGUAGGGGGCGAGCGUUACCCGGAGUCACUGGGCGUAAAGGGUGCGAGGUGGCCCCGUGUGUCCGGCGUUAAAGGCCACGGCUCAACCGUGGAGAUGCGCUGGAACUGCGGGGCUUGGGUGUGGCAGAGGCAGACGGAACUGCUGGUGUAGGGGUGAAAUCCGUGAUAUCAGCAGGAACGCCGGUGGAGAAGUCGGUCUGCUGGGCCACGACCGACACUGAGGACGAAAGCUAGGGGAGCGAACCGGAUUAGAUACCCGGGUAGUCCUAGCCGUAAACGAUGUCACUAGGUGUGGGGCGGAGAGCUCCGUGCUGAAGCUAACGCGCUAAGUGAGCCGCCUGGGAGUAUGCCCGCAAGGGUGAAACUCAAAUGAAUUGACGGG